CGCUCCCUGGGGCUAGACCAGGAUUUCAGCGAGAGAGACAGUUAUGGUCAAGAUCCUCUGUGGCUGGUCAGCAACACCCUCCAGUUGAAUAUUCAGUCGGAGGAUGACGUUGGUGAGACCGUGAUUUUAGCCGAUUCUGAGGUUGUCAGUGAAGGAGGGAUGCUGGAGAGUGAUGCCUUGCUUCUGCUGAAUGACUCUGUCAACUUUCUGCCAAUUUCGGAGGGCCUUCCUUCUUCAGAUAAGUUGCUGGAAAGCAUUAAUGAGAGGCAGCCAAGCAAAAUGGCAACCCCAGUGAAGAAAUACUCAGUGAAGCCCCCCAGCAGGGCCAGCCACACUGACUACAGCUCGAGGGAAAGGAGUAAGACCAACUUC